CUGACUUUCACCACCAUGGAACGCUAGGACACUCAGCAAAGAUCCAACAGCCAGCCCCGUCCCUGUGUGGGGCAGAGAAGGGAUAGGACCUUGAAGCUCACUGGGAAGGUUAUAAAACUCAGUGGGAGGAUGACAAACAGCCAGAAGACUUCCCAUCUGUGGAAGGGGAACUCGAUGGGUCAUCUCUGGAAGUUCCCAUGGCAUCUGCACCACAGAGGGAGGAAGGGCAGUCCCUCUGGUAAUUAGAUUUUAGGCUAUUCACAUCUUCAAGCAAAAACCUUAAUUUUCAUUUCAUACAUUGAUAAGGUACACCAUAAACCUCAGGAACUGAUGUCAUGCAAAACUCCAAACAAACAGACUGAAGACACAGAUGCUGCUGAAGGUAGGAAUGUGCUCAACUUUAAGAUUAGGUUCAUUUUGGGGUGUCAGGGCAUGUGAGAACAGCAACAAACUACCUGCAAUGAAGGUGUCUGAUGCUUUAAAACAGUAUUAUUUCUAAUAUCAUUUUGUGAGCAUUUUUCAGAGAAACAAUUCUUUUCUUAGCAAACUGCUUCUUGGUGAGUUUUUACAGAUAUGGAAGGAAGGCCACUGGACCACGUCCCACCACCCUCUGGGAUGGUACAGAAUGAGAAGUAUUGUGCCUGAAGGCCCGGGGUAAGGGAAGGCUUUAUAAUCUCUUCCCUCUAUUGUUAACUCACAGCAUCAGAGAGCUUCUCACCAACUGCUGCACACUGCAAGAGCUCUUAGUGCAGCUGAGCACUGGUGACUCCUGGAUCCCUUCCCAGAAAACUCUUCCUCCAGAAAAACAAGUUCUUCAGAUUAAAGAGAAAUAUUUAGAUAAACAGCAGGACCCAAGAUAUAAAAAGCUGGCCUGGCCAAGAGGAGGCUAGAGGUCCCAUUUCAGGCAAAGCAACUGCAAAUACUGAACAGGCAUAUUUGUUCAGGAUGUAUCCACUGCCCAACAGCUCACACUUGAAAGAAAAUUGAUGCCAGUGGACGUAAGCUGGAAGACCAGUGGACCCAUCAGAAGGCCCCCCAGAGCUGCCAGCAGGAAAAAAGGAUUUCCAACACCUUCAGAAGUGUGUCAGAGAAUAAGAACAGAAAUAUAUCCAAGGCUUCCAACAGCAGAUUUCAAAUGAACAAUCCCAGUCCACUUUCCAUGUGAUUGAUCGUGAAUUUUCCUCUCCUUUUAC
rnacentral:lncRNA from 1 species